ACGACUAGUCAAUAUACCAUGAGUUCGACGAAGAGGAUGCGUGGCUUCACCUAGGGCUUUCAUGUGAUCUCCAAAAACAUAUCGACAUUCUUCAUUAGCCUUUAAAAGUUCAAAAGCUUCAUCACCGUAAUGUGCCUCGCCCUUCCAGAUACUAGUGACAAGUGCAUAUAUAAUCAAUCCGAAAACGCCGCCUCCAAAUAUCACAAUCGAAAAAUUUCCAAUAUUAGCAGAAGUUCUGUAUGCUUUUUGAGGAGCCGUCAAAUCCUUCCAAGCUUUGUUAGACGGAUCUUUGAAAAUUCGUGCCAGGCGCCCUUCUUCUUGUGGUUUCCGUUGUUUAUUGAGAGAAUCAGAAGCCAAAGAGUAUAAUCUCCUCUGAACCAAAGCUGAAGAAAACCUUGUAGCGCUCUGCCUUUGAAUAGUACGAAUCAUCUAGUUGAUACAAAAAGAUGCAAAGAAGAUGUAUAUAGUGACGAGGCUAAACGGCAUAAAGGCAAUGUCUAGUGAGCUCGACAUAGGAUGCAAUGUAGUUCGUUAAAUUUUUGAGCUUUAGCAGUGAUAUGGUUGUUACACCUCAUUAUUCCGUUAGUCAGGUAAUUUAGUAAAAAGCAUACUAAAAUUUGAGAGUAUUUAGCUUGAAAAGAAAGGAGUAAUAAUGCAACAUCAUGAUUAAACAACGAUAUAUUAAAAGUCAGGGUUAUUUUAAAAUGAACGAAAGCGAAUUAGGUGGAAGAUGAUUUAGAAAAUUUUCAGUCACUAAUAAAUUCAAUAAACGCACGGUCAAUUAAUUUAUUAAAUUAAUAUAUUAACAAUCGAAGUAAAACCGUAAUUGAAAUCCUGAAUGUUGAUUUGCUGAUUAAGAACAGCA